rnacentral:rRNA from 1 species
GUAGUUAGCCGGGGCUUCCUCCUUGGCUACCGUCACUUUCUUCGUCACCAAGGACAGAGGUUUACAAUCCGAAGACCUUCUUCCCUCACGCGGCGUUGCUGGGUCAGGCUUUCGCCCAUUGCCCAAUAUUCCCCACUGCUGCCUCCCGUAGGAGUCUGGACCGUGUCUCAGUUCCAGUGUGGCCGAUCAGCCUCUCAGCUCGGCUACCCAUCGUUGGCUAGGUGGGCCGUUACCCCGCCUACUACCUAAUGGGACGCGAACCCCUCCUUCUGCGGAUUGCUCCUUUGACCUCUGAACCAUGCGGCUCUGUGGUCUUAUGCGGUAUUAGCACUUGUUUCCAGGUGUUAUCCCCCUCAAAAGGGCAGGUUGUUCACGCGUUACUCACCCGUUCGCCACUAACUACAAAUCCGAAAACCUGUAGUCCGUUCGACUUGCAUGUGUUAGGCACGCCGCCAGCGUUCGUCCUGAGCCACGAAUCGAACCCUCGA